GAUGAACGCUGGCGGCGUGCCUAAUACAUGCAAGUCGAGCGAACGGACGAGAAGCUUGCUUCUCUGAUGUUAGCGGCGGACGGGCGAGUAACAAGUGGAUAACCUACCUAUAAGACUGGGAUAACUUCGGGAAACCGUAGCUAAUACCGGAUAAUAUUUUGAACCGCAUGGUUCAAAAGUGAAAGAAGGUCUUGCUGUCACUUAUAGAUGGAUCCGCGCUGCAUUAGCUAGUUGGUAAGGUAACGGCUUACCAAGGCAACGAUGCAUAGCCGACCUGAGAGGGUGAUCGGCCACACUGGAACUGAGACACGGUCCAGACUCCUACGGGAGGCAGCAGUAGGGAAUCUUCCGCAAUGGGCGAAAGCCUGACGGAGCAACGCCGCGUGAGUGAUGAAGGUCUUCGGAUCGUAAAACUCUGUUAUUAGGGAAGAACAUAUGUGUAAGUAACUGUGCACAUCUUGACGGUACCUAAUCAGAAAGCCACGGCUAACUACGUG
rnacentral:rRNA from 1 species